rnacentral:rRNA from 1 species
CUAACUGGAGGACCGAACCGACUAAUGUUGAAAAAUUAGCGGAUGACUUGUGGCUGGGGGUGAAAGGCCAAUCAAACCGGGAGAUAGCUGGUUCUCCCCGAAAGCUAUUUAGGUAGCGCCUCGUGAACUCAUCUUCGGGGGUAGAGCACUGUUUCGGCUAGGGGGUCAUCCCGACUUACCAACCCGAUGCAAACUACGAAUACCGAAGAAUGUUAUCACGGGAGACACACGGCGGGUGCUAACGUCCGUCGUGAAGAGGGAAACAACCCAGACCGCCAGCUAAGGUCCCAAAGUCAUGGUUAAGUGGGAAACGAUGUGGGAAGGCACAGACAGCCAGGAUGUUGGCUUAGAAGCAGCCAUCAUUUAAAGAAAGCGUAAUAGCUCACUGGUCGAGUCGGCCUGCGCGGAAGAUGUAACGGGGCUAAACCAUGCACCGAAGCUGCGGCAGCGACACUAUGUGUUGUUGGGUAGGGGAGCGUUCUGUAAGCCUGCGAAGGUGUGCUGUGAGGCAUGCUGGAGGUAUCAGAAGUGCGAAUGCUGACAUAAGUAACGAUAAAGCGGGUGAAAAGCCCGCUCGCCGGAAGACCAAGGGUUCCUGUCCAACGUUAAUCGGGGCAGGGUGAGUCGACCCCUAAGGCGAGGCCGAAAGGCGUAGUCGAUGGGAAACAGGUUAAUAUUCCUGUACUUGGUGUUACUGCGAAGGGGGGACGGAGAAGGCUAUGUUAGCCGGGCGACGGUUGUCCCGGUUUAAGCAUGUAGGC